UAUGCUUAGGAAUCUGCCUAUUAGUGGGGGACAACAUCUCGAAAGGGAUGCUAAUACCGCAUACGUCCUACGGGAGAAUGCAGGGGAUCUUCGGACCUUGCGCUAAUAUAUGAUCCUAUUUCUGAUAAUCUAAUUGGUGGGGUAAAGGCCUACCAUGGCGACGAUCUGUAGCGGGUCUGAUAGGAUGAUCCGCCACACGGGGACUGAGACUCGGCCCAGACUCCUACUGGAGGCAGCAUGGGGGAAUAUUGGACCAUGGGGGGAACCCUGAUCCAGCCAUGCCGCAUGGGUGAAGAAGGCCUUAUGGGUGUAACUCACUUUAACCUAUGAGGAGGCUACUUUACUUAAUACCUACAGAUACUGGACGUUACUCGCAGAAUGAGCACCGGCUAACUCUGUGCCAUCAUCCGCUGUAAUACACAGGGUGCGAGCGUUAAUCGGAUUUACUGGGCGUAAAGCGCGCGUACGCUGCUUAUUAACCCGGAUGUGAAAUCCCCGAUCUUAACUUGGGAAUUGCAUUCGAUACUGGUGAGCUAUAGUAUGGGAUAGGAUGGUAGAAUUCCAGGUGUACCGGCGAAAUGCAUACAUAUCUGGAGGAAUACCCAUGGCGAAGGCAUCCAUCUGGCCUAAUACUGACGCUGAGGUACUAAAGCAUGGGGAGCAAACAGGAUUAUAUCNCCUGGUACUCCAUGCCGCAAAAUAUGUCUACUAUCCGCUGGGGCCNNUGAAGCUCUACUGGCGCAUCUAUCACUAUAACUACACCGCCUGGGGAGUACUGUCACAAGACUAUCACUNNAUUGACUUGACGGCGGCUCGCACAACCGGCGGAGCAUGUGCGNNCAUUCGNUGCAUNNCGACUACCUNACCUGGCUUGACAUACUAGAACU
rnacentral:rRNA from 1 species